GGCCCGCCCCGCCUCCCGCUCCCCGCCAUCACGUACCUGCGCUCCCGCACCCCGCGCUCUGCGCGGUCCCGCCGUCUCCAGCCGCUCCGAGAAGUCAGCCGGCGUCACCCAGGAGCGCCCGUCCCGAUGGAUUCGUACGAACGGAACUCGAUGUCUCGCUGUGCAGGCUGGAAAGAAGCGAUAGAGGCCAAUUAAAAAAGAAAAAAAAAAAACACAACGCGAGUGUUGCAUUGAAGUUCCUCUGCAACAGUUCGUAUAUUUCUAUCCUCUCCCUUCCCCCAAAGUCCGAGAGCAGAGCAAAGUGAACGCUCACAACACCGAGGGACAGAGGCUGCUCCCGGCUCUGUCUCUUCAGGACGUGUCCUCUCUAUCCACCCUCCUCCUUCAACACUUUCCAGCACCGCUUUAUCCACUGACAGCUGUGUGUUUGGGGAUGAGGACUAUCUCUCACAUAGCACAAAGGGAUUACUGCAAUACAAGUCCCACCAUUGCAGAGAAUUCUUGUUGUUUUCCAAUCAGCUUUUAGUUAAUGUACUACACGCACCUGUUAUUUUUUCUUUUGCCCUUUUAAAACUGAUAUUUUAUAUAAAACUCCUGAACUCCAGAGGAACUGGCAGCACUUCACAAACCACAACCUGAGUCUUUCCAAGCGGUGAGAACUCCAAUCUCAAUCCAGAAGAACAGUCGAGCACAGGCCCAGCUCCAAGCACCUGCAUCUAUGGGCUUGACAGCUCCUGUCCUUCCCCAGAGAGACACAAAGAGCAUGCUGCGCUACAACAGAGGCCAGGAAAGAGCUAAAAGCUCUGCAUGAAAGAGGCCAGGAAAACCAAGGAGAGUAGAAAGAUACGGUUUUAUUAUCAUUUGAAAGAGUCCUAUUGUAAAGUGAGCGCGACUCAGCUUUCCUAGAAGGGCUGAACUGCAUUGGCUCUGACUGUGGAGCCUACAAAGUGAGAACGGAGCAAAUAUGAGAGCUGCCUGCCGAGCUACCAUCACAAAGAAGACUUAAGCAUAAUGGCAAAUAAGCUAUAAACAGCAGAAGAUUACAAGUCUGCCUAUCGGAAAGGGAGGACCUGGAAGAGCCUUUCUGUGGGAACACUGGAGACAAAACCAAACCAACCGGACCUUGCUAUGUGUUACAUGAUGUGAUGCACGAAACAGCAGAGGAAUGAAUCUGGUGACUCAGCCCUAUUUCAGUCACACAAUGGGAUUUUGGCCUCACUACUACAGAGAGAACAAGCUUCAUAAGAACCCUCGAUUGAAAUGUUCAGAAAAGAAAACAGAAGAUUCCUCAUUGCUUUCUCAAACAGAACUGGCAAGGAAAAAAGAAAAUAGUUUAGACCAAAACUAUUUUUUCCAUUAGCAUUUACUGCUGGUCCUGUCUCCAACAUAUCAGCCAGGCACGUCCCUGGUGGGACAGAGAGCCAAGCAGCAAUGGAUGAAGAGAAGUGAAGAUGAGUCCAGGAUGAACCAAUAAGAAGGAAACGGACGAUGACGUAGCAUGGAUGAGCUUUGAUGGAAGCAUCAGAAGCUGUCUAGGACUCAGAAAGGACCUUAAAAGAGCACAGAUGAAUCUCAGUGUAUUUUAGUCCUAUUGCUCUUGUGAAUGCCUCUUUCAGGUGUGCUGUGUUUCCAGCUUGACCCCUGACUGAAGCAUUUGCACACUCAGGAGAGCAUCUGUGCCUAUCAGAAGACUGAUUAGACUCUCUGAGAACAGUUUAUGGUUUUAUGUUUGCGGGUUGGCUUUUUGUUUGUUUUGUUUCUGUCACUGACAGCUUAGCCCUUAGAAAGGGCCUUUAUUUAAUUCUGAUCUCACUUUUCUGAGAUAAAUAGCAAGCACCAAAGACAGAAGUGGAGUUUUAGAAGUAAGAUCCCAAUCUUUUGCAACUCCAAACCUUAGCAGAAGAAGAAAGAAAAAGAUGAAGUUAAUGAGAUGGAAGUCUAAAUUGGUUUUGGUGAUGAACAAUCAUAGAAUGGCCUGGGUUGAAAAGGACCAUAACGAUCAUCUAGCUUCAACCCUCCUGCUGUGUGCAGGGUCGACAACCACCAGACCAGGCUGCCCAGAGCCACAUCCAGUCUGGGUAUACAAUACGAUGAUAUUAGGCAAUUUGAUAAUAGUUGAUCUUGGUGUUGAAUAAACAAUUUUUUUCAAAGGCAGCAACAGAAUGCAGGCCCAGAAAAGGUAAAUAACAGUGGAUGUCCUCAUAUAGAGAAAAAUAAAGCAGGAAAGCUUAGCUGGAACCUCAGACAAGGCAGAAACAGUGAGUCAACAAGAUCCGGCUUUUCCAAGAUACAGUCCAAGCUGCCUCAGUCUCUAAAGCCACACCUUCAUGUCAGUUCCUGAGCUCUGAGCAACCAAGUCAUAGCUUCAAUAACAAAGUCACUUUCAAAGUAUUUUAGGAAAACAGUAUGUCAGUGCAUGAAAGUUAAGAACACUGCUGUACGAUACAGCUUCAAGAAACACAGUAAGCAAUGGAACCCAGAUUGCUUAGCUCCUCAAAUACCUCCUCGAAUUUCAAAGGCUGCAACAGCUAAAGAAUAUCUUUUUGAAACCAACCCAUCCUAAAGCAGCUUUAGGCAAACAGAGCCCAAAUUCUGACAGGGGUAGGUGGCAAGCGCGUGUCAGCAGGCACUUAUUUUACAGCCACAAGCUUUAACAUUAAACAGACUUAGCCAUGUAACACAGCUUUACCCAGAAUGGUCUCAGAGUGCUGAAGUAGUUUCCAGCCCCAGUUCUGAGUCUGUCCCGUGGUUGUUGACAACUGAGUUAAACAGGUUCCUCCCCAGAGUGUGUUGCUUAGCCAGCAAAAAGCAUUUGCAAACCUGUAUAGGAAACAGCAAUAAUCUUUCUGCAAAGCCUUCUUUACUGUUUGUAGAUUUGUCAUUCUAGCUGUAUUCAUAUACAUAUAUAGCUAAGCAGUAUAUCUUUCAGAACAUUCAAAAGCUAAAUAAUGUCUGCAAAGCAAGAGAAUAUGAUUUUGCUCCAUGUGAAAGUUGCAGGAAUUGAUUUAUUGGUAAAAAGGUAUCUGAGGAAAGCAAAGCCAUGUUAAUCACAGUCUUGCAGUACUGCAGAUGGGGAUUAGAAUCCGCUGUACAACCAUAUCCAAAACCAAACUCUCGGCAUGCAAGUAUUUCAAAAUGCACUGCGAGGGAAUACAACUUGUGUUCUUUAUGGCUCAUAUACCCUCCUAUAAGCAGAUUAAAACACAUCUAUGAAAGCAAUAAGGAAUCACGCAGCUAUAUCUGAAGCUUGCCAUUUAAUAACAGAGCAGAAUGAGCCAUGGAAAAAAGGGGGAAACUUGUUAUCAUAAUUCCAAAACCCCAUCUGGGUGAGAGGAGAGGAGAGGUGGCUGCAUGUAGCAUUAUUCAGACCAUAAGAACACCUUCCCUGGACUCCCUAGGACUCACAACCCUUCUUUGCAAUCCACACAGAGGCAUAAGCCUCAAGGGGCUCAGCAAGCUUAUCUUCCCUUGUCAGCACAGCAGCUUAAAAGAGAUGGACAGAAGCAGAGGUCAGAUGCCAGUCUCAGUACUGCUGAAUGCCUCUUCAGGAGGAGGGGUAGGCAGGUAAAUGGGUAGAUCAUCAGACAGAGGACUAAAAUUGCUAAGAUGCAACCUUAAGAACAGUUAAACAUGCAACAUUUCCCUUUCUUUUUCCUUAUUUUGAUACGCAGUGUAAUAGUUAAAUAUAUCAGUACUUAAAAUAUCGGUACAGGGCAUCUGAGUUGGCAAGAUACCCCAAGUCCCAGAGUCUGGAGCCUAUAGUGUAGGCUCUAUAGCAGCUUUGUUACAGACCUGGAACAGUCCCAACUGCACUGUCUCUGGCCAUAUUCCAACCUUUGCACCCUCCUUGCUCAAGGGGAGCACAGAAAGCACCACUGGAGCUGUCAGUGUCCACACUUGGGGUGUUGUCCACCCCUGUGUGCUGGGAAUGCCUACAGGGGACACAGAGCAGCGAGGCUUGAAGGGGGCUCUAGGCCUGGGGCCCCUGGAGAAGCACAUCCAUUUGAGCUCGUUCUGAAGUAUAGAAAAGAGUAAACGUGAUUUCUUAAGUUGCUCCCUAGUGCACUGCAUAAGCAUUUUUUCUCAUUAUCAUCACAACAGGGCAGGCCAUGCUUUACCCAAGGUCAUACACUAUCCAUUGGAAUUAAAACACCGGUGAGCUAGGCGAGUGAUUUUCAGUCAGUCUCUGAUUUGGAGGUCACAGAGGUCCAUAGACAACAAUUCAAGAUGUGCCAAGUGCUGGUAUGGGAUCUUUUACAUACUCUGCAUCCAGUAACCCUUAAAUAUCCAAUACACAAAAAAUGGAGCUUGGUAGAUAGCACUGAAAAAAGUAGUGAAGCACAUUUUUAAAAACUAACCCUCUUCACUUCAAGGGAAGAAGGACAGAUGAGAUUUUCUCUGUCAAAGAUGACUCGUUAUAAGAGAAGUUACAUGAUUACUGAGAAAGAGUCCCAGCAAACAUCACAGAAAGCAGCAGGCUCAGAACAAAACACAAGAUGAAACACAGAGAAGAACAAACCUAGCAAUUACAACUCUGUAAACCUGACUUUUCCACCAGGCACAAUAUCUGAGCUAAAAAUGCCAUUAAAGCAGAUGGAGGACAGUGGACACAUAAGUAGUUGUAUUUGCCUCAGAGUUUAUAAAGAAAGGAAGUUCCUGUAGGAUAAAAGUGUGCAAAUCAGAAUCAUUUAGUAAAAACGAUCUAGCAGAACCAACAUAUUUGGCUUUAAACAAAAAACUAAAUCAUAAUGAUCUGUAAAAAAAUAUGAAUUUACAUUACUUUUCAUAUUACAGUAACACAUAGCUUGCCAACUGGCUUCAUUGUGAAGAAGGAAUAAAAACAGCAAGUUGCCGAGCAGAAAAAGGUAUUUUGCAUGUUUAAAACAGACCAUGGUGCUGCUGUGUCAGAGCUGUUCUUGAGACUUCCAUAUUGAUCUAGCAGAGACAGACAAGUGACAUUAUCAGAUGACAGAGAGGCAUUUUGAAUAACAGUGAAUACAAGGAAAUAAUUCCAAGAGGUAUGGAAAAUUGUAAAAAUCAGAAGUAAAAAAUAAUCUCUUGAUCUUUAGCCACAA